AAUUCACUCGCUAGUUGAACGGCAUGGAAAGGCCGGCCAGAGAAGGUGACAGCCCUGUACGCGAAAGUAAGUGAACUUCGGGAUUGUUCCCGAGUACCGCAGGACACGUGUUAUCCGGCGGGAAUCUGGGAGGACCAUCUUCCAAGGCUAAGUACUACUCAAUGACCGAUAGUGAACAAGUACCGUGAGGGAAUGAUGAAAAGAACCCCGAUGAGGGGAGUGAAACAGAUCCUGAAACCGGAUGCCUACAAGCUGAUGGAGCUCUUCGGAGUGACAUCGUACCUUUUGUAUAAUGGGUCAGCGACUUAGUGUUGCGUGCAAGCUUAAGCCGUUAGGUGUAGGCGUAGCGAAAGCGAGUCUGAAUAGGGCGCCCUAGUUCGUUGGAUUAGACCCGAAACCGAGUGAUCUAGCCAUGGC
rnacentral:rRNA from 18 species